GAUGAACGCUGGCGGCGUGCCUAAUACAUGCAAGUAGAACGCUGAAGGAGUAGCUUCCUCUUCUGGAUGAGUUGCGAACGGGUGAGUAACGCGUAGGUAACCUGCCUUGUAUCGGGGGAUAACUAUUGGAAACGAUAGCUAAUACCGCAUGACAACAGUUAUUGCAUGAUAACUGUUUAAACGUGGCAACUGCUCCACUACCAGAUGGACCUGCGUUGUAUUAGCCAUUUGGUGAGGUAACGGCUCACCAAGGCGACGACACAGAGCCUGCCCGAGAGGGGGGUCGGCCACCAUGGGACUUGGACACGGCCCCGACUCCCACGGGAGGCAGGCGUAGGGGAUUUUCGGCAAAUGGGGGAAGGCUGACUGAACAAAGCCGGCGUAGGGAAGGAGGUUUUCGGAUCGUAAAGCUCUGUUGUAAGGGAAGAACGAGUGGGAGGGUAAAAAGUUGAUGCUGUGACGGUAUCUAACCAAAAAGCAACGGCUAACUACGUG
rnacentral:rRNA from 1 species